rnacentral:rRNA from 1 species
AACGAACGCUGGCGGCAUGCCUAACACAUGCAAGUCGAACGAGACCUUCGGGUCUAGUGGCGCACGGGUGCGUAACGCGUGGGAACCUGCCCUUAGGUUUGGAAUAACUCCCCGAAAGGGGUGCUAAUACCGGAUAAUGUCCUCGGACCAAAGAUUUAUCGCCCUUGGAUGGGCCCGCGUUGUAUUAGCUUGUUGGUAGGGUAAAAGCCUACCAAGGCGACGAUCCAUAGCUGGUCUGAGAGGAUGAUCAGCCACACUGGGACUGAGACACGGCCCAGAAUCCUACGGGAGGCAGCAGUGGGGAAUAUUGGACAAUGGGCGAAAGCCUGAUGCAGCUAUGCCGGGUGAGUGAUGAAGGCCUUAGGGUUGUAAAGCUCUUUUACCCGGGAUGAUAAUGACAGUACCGGGAGAAUAAGCUCCGGCUAACUCCGUG